AGAUGACAUUUAUAUUCAAAGUCGUUACUGGACAGUUUGCAAAAAUGACUUGCAAAUUUAAGUUAAUAGUGCUGUUUUUUGCACUUGGAGACGUGCUGCUGGUUUCCACAGAGCCACUCCGUGCAGCAAUACUUCAAAUAGUGAAAACAUCUACAGUGGAAGGGGAGAAGGUUGCAUUCAAAUGUGUGAUAUCAGCUGAGCACGGAGAACAAGCAGAGAACAAGGAGAGGAAUUGGUUCCAUUUAUAUAAAAACAGAGAGAAGA